AAAUUAUGUUAUUUUUUCAAAAGGUGAAAGAUCUUGUGAAGAGUUUGAAUAUACAACUGGAGAACAAGUGCCAAUUUCUGCCACAAGUAUGGCAUACAAUCUCCAGUUUUUUUAAGGAUAAGAGUGGACGACUAGUAUUAUCACCAAAAGUUGUUGAUUCAAAUUUCAAACACACUGCACUGGACUGAAGGUUCUAUUACAUUUACUGAUCAUAGUAUUACAGUGAAAACUCAUCAUUCAACAUCACCAGCCCAUCCUCAUAAAAUAUCACUUGAACUAAACCGGUGCACUCCAAUCAAACUAAGUACUGGUGAUCAUUGGAAGAAAGGAAAGACAACAUCAAAAGAUAUUAUUAAAGUUUUGAGAUCAGAAGAGAAAGCAAAACGUGAUAAAGACACUAGUGAAAUGUUAAUUGAAGAAUUCAAGCAGCAGGAACACACUUUACAUACAAUAAUUAAUAAAAUGCAUCACAUUAGAAUAAGAGAUUAUUGAUGAGUUGUUUUUGUACUCUA